AGUUUGGAUCAUGGCUCAGGACGAACGCUGGCGGCGUGCCUAAUACAUGCAAGUCGAACGAACUCUGGUAUUGAUUGGUGCUUGCAUCAUGAUUUACAUUUGAGUGAGUGGCGAACUGGUGAGUAACACGUGGGAAACCUGCCCAGAAGCGGGGGAUAACACCUGGAAACAGAUGCUAAUACCGCAUAACAACUUGGACCGCAUGGUCCGAGUUUGAAAGAUGGCUUCGGCUAUCACUUUUGGAUGGUCCCGCGGCGUAUUAGCUAGAUGGUGAGGUAACGGCUCACCAUGGCAAUGAUACGUAGCCGACCUGAGAGGGUAAUCGGCCACAUUGGGACUGAGACACGGCCCAAACUCCUACGGGAGGCAGCAGUAGGGAAUCUUCCACAAUGGACGAAAGUCUGAUGGAGCAACGCCGCGUGAGUGAAGAAGGGUUUCGGCUCGUAAAACUCUGUUGUUAAAGAAGAACAUAUCUGAGAGUAACUGUUCAGGUAUUGACGGUAUUUAACCAGAAAGCCACGGCUAACUACGUGCCAGCAGCCGCGGUAAUACGUAGGUGGCAAGCGUUGUCCGGAUUUAUUGGGCGUAAAGCGAGCGCAGGCGGUUUUUUAAGUCUGAUGUGAAAGCCUUCGGCUCAACCGAAGAAGUGCAUCGGAAACUGGGAAACUUGAGUGCAGAAGAGGACAGUGGAACUCCAUGUGUAGCGGUGAAAUGCGUAGAUAUAUGGAAGAACACCAGUGGCGAAGGCGGCUGUCUGGUCUGUAACUGACGCUGAGGCUCGAAAGUAUGGGUAGCAAACAGGAUUAGAUACCCUGGUAGUCCAUACCGUAAACGAUGAAUGCUAAGUGUUGGAGGGUUUCCGCCCUUCAGUGCUGCAGCUAAACGCAUUAAGCAUUCCGCCUGGGGGAGUACGGGCCGCAAGGCUGAAACUCAAAGGAAUUGACGGGGGCCCGCACAAGCGGUGGAGCAUGUGGUUUAAUUCGAAGCUACGCGAAGAACCUUACCAGGUCUUGACAUACUAUGCAAAUCUAAGAGAUUAGACGUUCCCUUCGGGGACAUGGAUACAGGUGGUGCAUGGUUGUCGUCAGCUCGUGUCGUGAGAUGUUGGGUUAAGUCCCGCAACGAGCGCAACCCUUAUUAUCAGUUGCCAGCAUUAAGUUGGGCACUCUGGUGAGACUGCCGGUGACAAACCGGAGGAAGGUGGGGAUGACGUCAAAUCAUCAUGCCCCUUAUGACCUGGGCUACACACGUGCUACAAUGGAUGGUACAACGAGUUGCGAACUCGCGAGAGUAAGCUAAUCUCUUAAAGCCAUUCUCAGUUCGGAUUGUAGGCUGCAACUCGCCUACAUGAAGUCGGAAUCGCUAGUAAUCGCGGAUCAGCAUGCCGCGGNUGAAUACGUUCCCGGGGCCUUGUACACACCGGCCCGUCACACCAUGAAGAGUUU
rnacentral:rRNA from 2 species